rnacentral:lncRNA from 1 species
UAUGCUGCCACGUCUCCAUCAACAAUACAUAAGAAUUUUAGUCCAACAGGAUCGUGACACCUCAUCAAUCAAUGCCACAUCAUCGGCCAAUGCCACGUCAUCAUCCGUCUAUGUAAACAGUGUCGUGAACAGUAACGUAUACAGUACCGUACACAUGAAUAGUACCGUACAUGUGAACAGUGCCAUUUUUCCUUUUAUGCUCC